UACGUAGGGGGCAAGCGUUGUCCGGAAUUAUUGGGCGUAAAGAGCGCGUAGGCGGUCCGAUAAGUCGGCUGUGAAAGUCAGGGGCUCAACCCUUGAAAGCCGGCCGAUACUGUCGGACUAGAGUCCGGAAGAGGCAAGUGGAAUUCCCGGUGUAGCGGUGAAAUGCGCAGAUAUCGGGAGGAACACCAGCGGCGAAGGCGGCUCACUGGCCCGGUACUGACGCUGAGGC
rnacentral:rRNA from 1 species